GAAGAAAAAAAAUAAUAAUUACCUAAUUUACAAUUAGGUUUAGGUCUAGCCUUUCUUUU
rnacentral:tRNA from 1 species